rnacentral:lncRNA from 1 species
CAGCAGGAUUUUUUUUUAAGUGACAGAUGAAGUCUAAAAAUCAUAGAGAAAUGCAAAGGACUAAAAAUAGUCUUGAAAAAGAACAAAAUUAGAGGACUAAUAUUAUCUCAUUUUAAGACUUAUUGCAAAGUUAUAUUAAUAAAAAAUCUGUUAUGUUAGCAUAAAGCUAUACAUAUAGAUAAAUAAAAUAGAGUCUACAUGUACAAAUAGUUUUUUUGACAAAGUCAAGUGAGAAAAGAUAGUGUUUUCAGCAAAUGGUUGAAAUAUGUAUAUCUUAUAGAUAUAUAUAAUCACAGAGUAUACAAAUUGUUCAACAUUUCAGUGAUGAAACAAAAAAGAACUAGGAUUUUAGGCCAGAUUUUGACCUUGCAUUAAAGCACACUGCCAUAGUAAAGGGAAUGGCCUUUGCAGUGAUGCCAUUUUCUCAGCUGUUUGGGCCUCACUGGACCCUGAGCAUCUUGAGAACAAGGCCCAUGUCUGAUUUACAUGAGAACCUCAGGGUGUUCCACUGUUCACUGAGCAAGCAGUAACAGUGGCUCAGUUAAAAAUUGUUGUGUUUCAUUCAGUUGCCAUUUCUCUUUACCUUUAGUUGUGCUCAGAUCAAUAGGAGUUACAGGCAUGAGGAUCUCCAGAGCUUAUACAACUGAUCCUGUGUGUGUGUGUGCGUGUGUGUGUGUGUGUGUGUGUGUGUGUUAGAGCUAGGAUCAUGUAUGUGGUAUAUUUUCAUAUGUAGGUCUGUGGAAGUCACAGAGGUAUAUGGGAAGAAUACAUUGCUAUCCCAAACAACACACACACACACUCUAAUCAAAUGUUUGUCUGCAAUAAGAAGCAAGAAUGAAUGAUCCAAAUAAGAGCAUUAAACAAAGACCUGAGGGUCAUUAAGGCUUCAGGCCUUUGAACUAACUAGAUAAACAGAAGCCUCGUCAGCAGUCAGGGCUAGAUUUUCUUUCUGCUGUAGGAUGUGUUCUGUGCAGGGUUUGGAGAGCAAGCACCUCCUUCUCUCCACACCCUUAUUUAAACAGGCUUGUAAAAGCUGGGGAAGAGAGCACAAAGCCUAAUGUCACUGAUAUUGCUGGCAAUACUGAUGUCAUGUUGGCUGUAUCUACAUAGCCCUGUUUCUAAAACAAUAGACUUGCAUUGUGUGCUGUCAUGGCUGGCUCUUCUCUUUCAUUCCCUUUAUUAUGUUUUUGAAGUGACUUUGAUGUGUAAAUGCAAAGGAACACAUGAAGGAGGGUGAGGGGUGGUGAUGAGUGCCCUGUAGGCUGCAGGUUGUUUGUCCAUCAGACACAAUCACACUCUGCUUUAGAAAACUGUCAAAGCCACCAGCAAGGCUCUAAAAGACUUUUUUUUUUAAAUCGUGAAUACACAUGAGCCACUUCACAGAUUGUAUUUGUAAUUAAUAGAAGGCCUAAGGUAUUCUUUCUCUAAUUCUAAAAGAUGUGCAGACACAAAGACAUUUCUUGAAAUUGUCAUAGCAGUUUGUCUCAAACCACUCAAGGACACAGUUUCAACUCCUAGUGAAAGCAACAGAGUCAGCUGCAGGUCAAAUGGCCACAUGAUAUUUCAGAAGAGCCGGUUUAGGAGUUCCCGUCAUGGCGCAGUGGAAAUGAAUCUGACUAGGAACCAUGAGGCUGUGGGUUCAAUCCCUGGCCUCGCUCAAUGGGUUAAGGGUCUGCCAUUGCUGUUACCUGUGGUGAAGGCCGCAGAUUCAGCUCUCAGCUCGGAUUCUGCAUUGCUGUGCCUUGUGGUAUAGGCUGGCAGCUGUAGCUCCGACUUGACCCUAGCCUGGGAACCUCCAUAGGCCACAGGUGUGGCCCUAAAAAAAACAAACAAACAAAAAAAAAGACCCAGGCUAAAAACUCCAGGAUGAGGAAGUAGACGUGCACAGAGUGCCAGCAUCUUGGCUGCUGCCUUCAAAUUUUUAUAUAUGCUCACAUUUACCCCUCAUACCAUCACUGGAAAGGAGCAUAUCAUUUAGAUUCUCAUGACUUGACCAAAGAUGCUUAAAUAGGGUAGUGGUAUAUUUCUUUCCCAUACAGAGUUGUUGGAAAGAGUCCAGUCAAGUAUGAAGGCUCCAUAAAGUCAGUGGGGGUCAAAGGCUCCUUCUAUCUUUAUCCUUUUGUCUCCCUAGCAUAUCCUAAAGGCCAAAAGAUAGCUACUAGAGCUCCAGCUAUUAUAGCUGCAUCCCUGGUAGGAAUAGUGAAAGAGCAAGAUGGCAAAAAGAGCUUCUUCAAGUUCCAUUUUGUGACUAUUACCUGUAAUCUCUUAGCUGCCAUCAUUGUCAUUCCGCUGAAAAAAUCAUGUUCUCUAUCCAAACAAGAGUGGAGAAGGAUAUUAAAUAAAUUAGCAGUCUCUGGCCAGACAAGAAUAAGUAUUUCAAUUAAAAACUGAGUUUCCAUGAGAUAAAGGACCCAAACCUAAGUCAUCAUCAACCCAGAAAAUGGUGACAAUUUUCUGUGAGAAAAUAAGUAUGUGAACCACCAAGGUCAGAGCUUGAACCUAAGCAGGGACUAAGGUUGGUUCAAGCUCAUCUGUCAUGGGUUUAAUGGGUUGAAUUGCAUAAGCAGGUUAGAAUUGAAGUGUUUUGAUGGAAUGAACAGAAAAGUCAGUGUAUGCAGAGAAUGUGGCCCUGAGAAGGGCUAUGUGGAAAAGGGAUGUGAAGGAGAACUAUCACCUGCCUGGGGUAUCUUUUCCCCAGAAUAGCUCCAUGAACACAUAACCACCCCUCACGUCAUAAAGGGAGUUGACCAAAGAUAAGGAGGAAUUCUGAAUGCUAAGUUGCUUUGCCUCUGUCAACAUGGAGUGGGAAAGAAGGUGCCUAACCAACGUUUUUGAAAAUGCAGUGUGCCUUGAGCUCAGGGAGACCUUCAGGGAUGUCAGCAAUUUGUCCAGGGUUUGCAGUUUUUAGGGAGGUGUGUUCUUGCUUAGGGGGAACUAUCAUCAUGAACCUUGGAAAUGUAAGGUCUGUGUGAAGACGCUUGAGGGUGUAAUCACACCAUUCCAUGCUCCACGUUGGCCACCAGUUGAUGGAUGUGUUUAUAGCCAGCUUUCCAUGCCCAAAUCCUAACUGAACUUUGAAGUAAGAGAUUAUUUCUAGGGCUGGCAAACACAUCCAAGACUAUUGACCACAGUCGAAUAUAAGGUUUCAUGGGAUGCUUGAAUCCUCAAACUGGUCAGCCUUAUGCUAACCCACAGCAUGCCUGCUCCCUGGGGAUGCUUUGCAUGGAGUGGAGCUGGGAGAACCCUAGGCUUACAGUUUGAUUUUUGUGUACUCAAAUCUCCUUCUCUCUUAUACUCUUAAACCCAUAAUUCUAAAAGAGUUUUCUAUGGCCAUAAUGUAUAUCACCACCAAUGCCAGUUGUACUGGAGCUUCUUCAAUCUUUGAACUAAUAAGUGGUUUAAAUAAUGAAGGUUUUGUCACUGUUCUCUGCUCUGCUCCUUGUCCUUCCUGUACUUUCAUCCUGUCCAUCAGUCCUCUUUAGUAAGAUAAUUUU